rnacentral:rRNA from 1 species
GAUGAUGCCUAUCAACUGUUUAAAAGAUUAGGGUUCUGCUAUCACUCUUGGAGUGGACCUCGCGGGUGCAUUAGCUAGUUGGUAGGGGUAAACGGGCCUACCAAGGCGAUGAUGCAUAGCCGAGUUGAGAGACUGAUCGGCCACAUUGGGACUGAGACACGGCCCAAACUCCUACGGGAGGCAGCAGUAGGGAAUCUUCCACAAUGGACGCAAGUCUGAUGGAGCAACGCCGCGUGAGUGAAGAAGGGUUUCGGCUCGUAAAGCUCUGUUGUUGGUGAAGAAGGACAGGGGGUAGUAACUGACCUUUGUUUGACGGUAAUCAAUUAGAAAGUCACGGGCUAACUACGUGCCAGCAGCCGCGGUAAAU